ensembl:misc_RNA Y_RNA Y RNA
GGUUGGUCUGAAGGUAGCGAGUUUAUUUCAAUGGACUGUUCACAGUCUGUUACAGAUCGAACUCCUUGUUCUAUUCCUUCCCCUGUCUUACUGCUGCACUUGACUUGUCAAAA